UUUUGUUGCUAUAAAUACUUCCAAAGAGGACCUAAGUUUCUCCCAAGCUACUCUCAAGUCUAUCAAGUGUUCGAACUUUCUUUGAGAGCAAGAGCAUCAAUGGCAUCCAUAAAGGCAGAGAGGCCUGCAAGCUCCCAGGUUCCAAUUGGACUGGGCAGCAAGACAACUGAAUCUAAGCCCAAAGCUACAUCACCAAAGCAAGCUCGUAAGAAGACUGAACAGAAGCCUCGUGCUCCAACAAAGAAGGUUCAGGCUAAAGUCAGCAAACCAGCAGCAAAAAAAUAAGAAAAAGCCAGAUAUAUUGCAUGGGCUGAUGCAAAAAUGCUUAUGUUUUUCUUUAUUUUUCUUUUUCGUUAUGCUGAUUAUAUUUCUCUUUUGCUGUCACUUAUUGAUGAGAUGAAGUUUGUGUACUGAAUCUCUUAGCAGGUUGAAUGUAUUGUCUGUGUUAAGUUUGUUUAUUGUAAUGAAAGCCAGCCAACUAUUGAUUGGCCCAUAAUUACUUUUGCAA